rnacentral:rRNA from 1 species
AAUUAUUGGGCGUAAAGAGCUCGUAGGCGGUUGUCGCGUCUGCUGUGAAAUCCGGAGGCUCAACUCCGGCUGCAGUGGGUACGGGCAGACUAGAGUGCGGUAGGGGAGAUUGGAAUUCCUUGGUGUAGCGGUGGAAUGCGCAGAUAUCAGGAGGAACACCGAUGGCGAAGGCAGAUCUCUGGGCCGUAACUGACGCUGAGGAGCGAAAGGGUGGGGAGCAAACAGGCUUAGAUACCCUGGUAGUCCACCCCGUAAACGUUGGGAACUAGUUGUGGGGUCCAUUCCACGGAUUCCGUGACGCAGCUAACGCAUUAAGUUCCCCGCCUGGGGAGUACGGCCGCAAGGCUAAAACUCAAAGGAAUUGACGGGGACCCGCACAAGCGGCGGAGCAUGCGGAUUAAUUCGAUGCAACGCGAAGAACCUUACCAAGGCUUGACAUAUACGAGAACGGGCCAGAAAUGGUCAACUCUUUGGACACUCGUAAACAGGUGGUGCAUGGUUGUCGUCAGCUCGUGUCGUGAGAUGUUGGGUUAAGUCCCGCAACGAGCGCAACCCUCGUUCUAUGUUGCCAGCACGUAAUGGUGGGAACUCAUGGGAUACUGCCGGGGUCAACUCGGAGGAAGGUGGGGAUGACGUCAAAUCAUCAUGCCCCUUAUGUCUUGGGCUUCACGCAUGCUACAAUGGCCGGUACAAAGGGCUGCAAUACCGCGAGGUGGAGCGAAUCCCAAAAAGCCGGUCCCAGUUCGGAUUGAGGUCUGCAACUCGACCUCAUGAAGUCGGAGUCGCUAGUAAUCGCAGAUCAGCAACGCUGCGGUGAAUACGUUCCCUGGUCUUGUACCCACCGCCCGUCAAGUCAUCAAGUCGCCACUCGAGUUUGAUCGUGGCUCAGUCAGUCGUAACAAGGUAACCACUAGAGAUG